ACAGUAUCAGAGAAUGAGCCAAGAUUCAAUUAAUUAGAAACAGUUAAGUAAGCACACUUAUCAUUAGUAUACAAAUCAGUAUUCAUCCUUAACAAGUGGUAAAAUGAAUCAAAGUAUUGUUUUAAAAUCUAUUUAUUAUUUAUUACCAGUAAAUAUGUUAUCUGCCAUCCUAUUUUACAUAUCUUAAGUUGAGUAAAAAUUUGGGGCAUAUACCAAAAAGAUGCUCCAACAUACAACAAAGACACAUGCUCCACUAUGUCAGAGCAGCCUUAUUUAUAAUAGCCAGAAGCUGGAAAGAAGCCAGAUGCCCUUCAACAGAGGAAUGGAUUAAAAAAAAGCGGUACAUCUAUACAAUGGAGUACUACUCAGCUAUUAAAAACAAUGACUUCAUGAAAUUCAUAGGUAAAUGGAAUGAACUAGAAAAUAUCAUCCUGAGUGAGGUAACCCAAUCACAGAAAAAAGACACUUGG
rnacentral:lncRNA from 1 species